CCUAUGGGUGGCUGCAGUGGGGAAUAUUGGACAAUGGGCGAAAGCCUGAUCCAGCCAUGCCGCGUGUGUGAAGAAGGCCUUCGGGUUGUAAAGCACUUUCAGUGGGGAAGAAAGCCUUGGGGCUAAUACCCUCGAGGAAGGACAUCACCCACAGAAGAAGCACCGGCUAACUCCGUGCCAGCAGCCGCGGUAAUACGGAGGGUGCGAGCGUUAAUCGGAAUUACUGGGCGUAAAGCGCGCGUAGGCGGUCUGAUAAGCCGGUUGUGAAAGCCCCGGGCUCAACCUGGGAACGGCAUCCGGAACUGUCAGGAUAGAGUGCAGGAGAGGAAGGUAGAAUUCCCGGUGUAGCGGUGAAAUGCGUAGAGAUCGGGAGGAAUACCAGUGGCGAAGGCGGCCUUCUGGACUGACACUGACGCUGAGGUGCGAAAGCGUGGGUAGCAAACAGGAUUAGAUACCCAGUAGUC
rnacentral:rRNA from 1 species